AAUUAUUACAAACGUUUAUAUCUCUCUCCCCCCCCCCCCAUUUAAAAAUGGGGAGGGGGAGGGAGAUAUAAACGUUUGUAAUAAUU